AGUUACAACGCACACGCAUCGUUUGUGCAAAGGCCCUAAAAGAUAGACACUUCUUAUGUUCCUAAAAGUAAUUUAACCCUUUUUCAGGCCGCUGAUGAUUAAUUUCAAGAGUCAGUAUAGCGAAAAUACAAUGUAAUUUGAACCCUAAGUCUUAGAACUAAGGUUGAAAUCCUAUUGACAGUCUACUAGGGAUGAAAGAGGGUUGAAAUUAUUAAAAUAACUAUUGUGUCAUGCCUAUUUUAUUUAAGUCCAUCGAUUGAAAUGUUCUGUUACUAUUUAUAUGGUAUAGUUGUUAAAUUAUUUUUAAAUGUUACCACAUUUUUUUCUUAAGACUGCAGCUAUAACUUAUUGUUUUAAUUUGUGAUAUUUCGAAUCUCUGAAUAACUGUAUUUUUUACAGAGAUCUGUUUCUAAUAUUAAUAAUCGUACUAAUGACUGAACUACAUAAUAUUUGUUUUCAAGAAAAAUGUUAUUCGAUUUGUAAUCUAUGUAUUUUAGGGGCUACCCCACGCCAAUGACCUUCGAUCUAAAUCCCUUAGUUUUCUAAUGUUUUUUUGUUGCUUAUUAUAUUAACAGCAACGGCUUUAAGCAAUAUAGUAUCCCAUAUUUACUUCAAAGUUCAUUGUUUUCGAGAUAUUUGGCAUCAAAGUUGAACAAUUUUAGGCUAAAAAACUGGUAUUCUGGCCAUAAUUUUUAUGUUAAUUAGUUUAAAAUUAAAACCCUGGACACGUUUUUCGAGACGUCAAAGACGAACCCAAAUAUGUAGAUUUCGUACAUGUAAGAUCCUUCACUGCAAACUAGAUACGAAAAAAGUGUUUUUUUUUAAACAAUGUUUAAAAAAUUCUUAAAAAAAUAACUAUUCAUUUUUUUUCAAAAUCCGGUGGACAAAACCGGAGAUAAAAGAUUGAAAAAAACCGAUAACCGUUUGCCUUAUAUAUUCUAUCUGUAGUGCAAAAAAAGUAGAUACGAUUCAAAACUUGUCAAAAAUCGAUGAAAACCUCGGGUAGCCCCAUAAGCAAUGAAAACAAGUGCAUUUUAUGUAGAACAGCCAUAUGUGACAUUGACCAUUUCAACUUGUACUUUGUGACGUGAGAAUACGGUAAACAAUUGUUUUCGAAUGUAUCAUACCGUUGUAUACGGGCCAUCCCACUAGCCUUUUUAGCGUCGGUGUCCAGUCAGCACUAUGGAAAAUGGCGUCACUGCACAGUUGCGCCAACGUUGCGUCGACUAACAGCCAUAGUGUAAGGCCUGUGUGGACGCUCGAAGCGGAGCGUGCAGCGUGGCGUCGGGCUCACAAGUGAUUUGAGCAGCGUGCACUAAGGCCGCUCCUAUACGUUUGCAUUUUUUAUUUUUUAACAUGCACGCCUCACGCCCCUCCCCGCUGCACGCUCAACUCGAGCGUCCACUCAGGCCUUAAACAUAGAGUUGACUAGACUCCGACGCUCGGGAGACGCUAGUGUGGGGUGGCUCUUAAUGUUGCUAAGCGUAGUUUAUAACGUAGCCGUGCGCCGCAGUGGGGUGUCACCGUAAUGGUAUGUUCCUAAUCCAACCCACCACAUUUUUACACGACCAAAAAAGGGGUGUAAUUUUUUUCACAUUCUCCGACCCCUGGAUAUUUUUCGUCUUUUGUCUGUAGCACAAUUUUCCACACAAAUCUAUCAAUGAGACCAGCGGGCCUAUUAUGGUUGCCUUCUACUAUCGCUCGGUGUCAAAAAGUGAGUUCAAUUUUGUCGUUAAGGCUCGGUGGGUUCAGGUUCCUCUCUCACUCACUGAGCGUCAGCGUGAGCGAGAUGGCUUUGCAAAAUUUGUACAAAAAGUAUUCGAUGAGUUCGAUUAAAAAUAAAAUUACGCACUUUUAGAUUUAGACCUAUGUUCGUGAUUUAUUCUAUCGAGCGAAAGUCAAGAAAUUAGGUUUCUAAUCGAUGAAGUUACUACUGUAGUAACUUCAUCGAAUAGAAACCUAAUUUCUUUAAUACAUUUAAAUUUAAUUAGCAAUUUUGUGGCCUUUCUCUAGUAGAUAAAGGCCGCAAGAUUGCUAAUAAAAUUUUUGGCAACCGUAUUGUGAUCUAAAAAAGCGCUACGAUUUUUCGAAAACUGCUGGCUGAACCAACUGGUGCAACCAUCAUAGGCCCGUUAGGAAUCAAUUAGUUGAAACAUAGCCGUACUCUAAUUAAAUUAGCACCAAACAUGUACAACAAAACGUAGAAUAGAAACGAUGUCACUGUUAACUGAAUUGAUUAAACUUGAAAAUAAAAUAAUUGCCAUUACAAGUA